GCCACUUUCUACGCGUGAGCAGCCGGCCACGUGCCACAAAAGACCGUGUCGCCUAUUAUCUGCUACCUUUCCGCACGCUCACACACACCGGAUGGUCGGUCCCCCCGGGGAGAAAUCGUUCCGGACUGGUAGCAGAUGACAGACGGUUGAAAUAUUGAACGGAUUUCGGUCCGUGCGGAGUGUUUCAUUGUUUCUUUGCUGGAAAGCAGAGCCUACUCGGAGUCUAGCCAGGAGUGACGAUGGUUCUGUUGAUUCGAUAACAGGACAGAAGAGGUCGAACGGUGGAGGAAGGUCGAGUGGCUUCUUGGCUGAUUUUGGGAGAAAACGGUUUCAUUCUUGACGACGCUAAAGAGGUGCUCUCUUGCUUUUAUUCAAAUAGGUGAUUAUUUAUUCAAUUAGCAACUUUGAAUGAGGGACUGCUCGCAAUUGAGUUGUAAUUAAUGUUGUUAAUAAUGGAUGAAGUAAAGGAUGCUUGUUGUCAAGUAGUUUGUCAUUAAUCUUGCCGUUUCUUUACAGCUGUUUCAUGCUUCUGGAGGAUGUUUAAAAUCAGUGCAUUCAAAUCAAGAAAUCCUUUCACAGAUCAUUUGAUUUGCAAUUUAGCAGGAAAUGAUCUUGAGGACUUCCAACAGCGUUGCACGUACUGUCCCACGGAGAGCUCCCCACCGGCAGCCUGUCCACCGGAUUGUUUCUGCAAACGGCCACCAGAUGACACCCCGGAUCGAGUCUAAAGAAGUGAAAAUUCGAUCGAUUCUGCACACUGGUCUGUGUAGCAGUGACUUUAGGAAAAGUAACACACCUAUCUUCAUGUAACUGCAGCUGUUUUUUCCCACAUCGAUGUAAUACUGUAAAUUAACAAGCAAAUCAUCAAAAUAAUGGCAAUCUUAAGCAUAAUAACUCUUACUAACUGUUAAAUUGAAUGAACGAACGCGUUGAAAUUGCAUCAAAAAUAAUCAACAAAAUAACUAAAUGUACGCUUCAGUAGCAAUCUCAAAAUGAGCUUUUUUUCCCACAGCAUUUCAUGUCAACAAUUUGGCAAAUAAAUACGUUCAUUUUGUGGAC